rnacentral:rRNA from 1 species
GAUCAUGGCUCAGGAUGAACGCUGGCGGCGUGCCUAAUACAUGCAAGUCGAACGAGGUGCUUUUGUAGCAAUACGAGAGUAUCCUAGUGGCGAACGGGUGAGUAACGCGUUGGUGACCCACCCCAAAGUGUGGGAUAACAGUCCGAAAGGAUUGCUAAUACCGCAUGUGGUUAUUGGAUUUAGAAACCGGUAACUAAAGGAGCAAUUCGCUUUGGGAGGGACCUGCGUCCCAUCAGCUAGUUGGUGAGGUAAUGGCUCACCAAGGCUACGACGGGUAGGGGACCUGAGAGGGUGACCCCCCACAAUGGAACUGAAACACGGUCCAUACUCCUACGGGAGGCAGC